UAUUAAACAAGAUAAGAGUUUUUGGUGGAUGCCUUGGGUCUGGAAGUCUAAGAAGGACGUGAUUACCUGCGAUAAGCCUCGGUUAGCUGGAAAUAAGCUGUUAUCCGGGGAUUUCCGAAUGGGGAAACCCAAUUGAGUUAAUCCUCAAUUAUCAUUUCGAUGAAUCCAUAGUCGAAUGAAGAGACACGCUGUGAAUUGAAACAUCUCAGUAGCAGCAGGAAAAGAAAAUAAAGAAUGAUUCCCUUAGUAGUGGCGAGCGAACGGGGAAAAGCCCAAACCAACAUUUGAUGUUGGGGUUGUAGGACUACUUACACGAAGUUAGAAAAAACUUAAACAUAGCAGAAUAAGUUGGAAUGCUUAAACAUAGAGGGUGAAAUUCCCGUAAGCGAAAUGAAUAAGUCUUCAAGUAGUAUCCUGAGUAGGGCGGGGCACGUGAAACCCUGUCUGAACCCGCCGGGACCACCCGGUAAGGCUAAAUACUAACCAGACACCGAUAGUGAACUAG
rnacentral:rRNA from 2 species